rnacentral:rRNA from 1 species
CCUACGGGAGGCUGCAGUGGGGAAUAUUGCACAAUGGGGGGAACCCUGAUGCAGCCAUGCCGCGUGUGUGAAGAAGGCCUUCGGGUUGUAAAGCACUUUCAGCGAGGAGGAAAGGGAUGUAGUUAAUAACUGCAUUCUGUGACGUUACUCGCAGAAGAAGCACCGGCUAACUUCGUGCCAGCAGCCGCGGUAAUACGAGGGGUGCAAGCGUUAAUCGGAAUUACUGGGCGUAAAGCGUGCGUAGGCGGUUUGUUAAGCAAGAUGUGAAAGCCCCGGGCUCAACCUGGGAACUGCAUUUUGAACUGGCAGGCUAGAAUCUUGUAGAGGGUAGUGGAAUUUCCAGUGUAGCGGUGAAAUGCGUAGAGAUUGGAAGGAACAUCAGUGGCGAAGGCGGCUACCUGGACAAAGAUUGACGCUGAGGCACGAAAGCGUGGGGAGCA